AGUGACGUCACACAGGUGAUUUCCUGUUGUUAACAGAAGGGAAGUGCUUCUAGCUGUGAUUACAGCGACACCUGAAACUGCUGCUUUUUAUGCUUCAGGGAGUGAAGCAGGUGAUCGAAUAAUGACAAUGAGAAAGGCCUUAAAGAUGACUUGGACAGAGGACAAGAUGAGGACGGGAUGAGAUGAGGACAGAGGACAAGAGGAGGACACAAAAGAAUACUGUGAAGAAGGACCUGCUCAGCCGACUCAGCCUGGGUUUAUCUGGGGUCGGUCUAUCACUGUGAACUGCUACGCUCUAUUGUUAGGAUUCCCAUGAGAACAUUUUACUGUCAGGUUUAGGAAAAUUUAGACAAUGGACUAAAACCCUGAUGUUUGAGAUAACAGUUUAAAAUGAAUAAUUAAAAGCAAAAAUUAAAACAUCUUAUUUUCAGGGUUUCAGCAUCUUUUCAGUCUUCUGGGAGUUUGAUCCAGAUAACUGAUGCAACUGAAUUCUGCUUCUAUAUGCUUAAUUCUGGAGAUGGAGAUUUAUAGACUUAAAGAAAUAUUUUCUAUUUUCUCUCUGAGUUUCACAGAGUCAGUAAGGACUUUGUUGUACUUAGUGAAUUAUGUAACUUCUAGAUUUUAAGGCUAAACUCUCUUCUGUUGUUUGACUUUUCACUCUAAUCUAAUUCUUUCAGUGAUUACCAGCUCUGAUUAGGAAUUAUUUACUCCCAGGUUUAAAAUAAACUGAUCUUAAAAUAACUCUGAAGAAGUCCUUUGAUUCAAACUGCUUCCUGCUAACAUUCUUCCUACAUGAUGAAGUAAGACCUUUGGAAGAAGGAAACAACCUAUAACCUAAUAAUUAUAGCAGAGCAGUGAUACUAAAAACAAUUAGAGCUUCCUGCUGUGGCUGAAUUCCAUAUUCUGCAGUUUCAUAAUGUUCCAGUCACCACCUUGUUCUUCCAGUCUUACAGUGCUCCAUGUUGCAACCAGUUAC